GAGAGUUUGAUCCUAGCUCAGGAUGAACGCUGGCGGCAUGCCUAAUACAUGCAAGUCGAACGGGGUGCUUGCACCCAGUGGCGAACGGGUGAGUAACACGUAUCUAAUCUACCCAUUAGCGGGGGAUAACAGUUGGAAACGACUGCUAAUACCGCAUACGACAUUUUCUGGCAUCAGAAAAUGUUAAAAGGUCCGUUUGGAUCACUAAUGAAUGAGGAUUAGCUAGUUGGUGGGGUAAAGGCCCACCAAGGCGAYGAUMYGUAGCCGAACUGAGAGGUUGAUCGGCCACAUYGGGACUGAGACACGGCCCAGACUCCUACGGGAGGCAGCAGUAGGGAAUUUUUCACAAUGGGCGAAAGCCUGAUGGAGCAAUGCCGCGUGAUUAUUUGACGGUACCUUACCAGAAAGCCACGGCUAA
rnacentral:rRNA from 1 species